UGGCUCAGGAUGAACGCUAGCGACAGGCUUAACACAUGCAAGUCGAGGGGCAGCACAGGUAGCAAUACUGGGUGGCGACCGGCGCACGGGUGCGUAACGCGUAUGCAACCUACCUAUAAUAGGGGGAUAGCCUUCUGAAAGGGAGAUUAAGACCGCAUAAUACAACUGAAUCGCAUGGAUUAGUUGUAAAAUAUUUAUAGAUUAUAGAUGGGCAUGCGUCUGAUUAGAUAGUUGGAGAGGUAACGGCUCACCAAGUCAACGAUCAGUAGGGGUUCUGAGAGGAAGGUCCCCCACACCGGAACUGAGACACGGUCCGGACUCCUACGGGAGGCAGCAGUGAGGAAUAUUGGUCAAUGGGCGAGAGCCUGAACCAGCCAAGUCGCGUGAAGGAAGAAGGUCUUAUGGAUUGUAAACUUCUUUUAUAGGGGAAUAAAGAUGAGUACAUGUACUCAGUUGUAGGUACCCUAAGAAUAAGGAUCGGCUAACUCCGUGCCAGCAGCCGCGGUAAUACGGAGGAUCCGAGCGUUAUCCGGAUUUAUUGGGUUUAAAGGGUGCGUAGGCGGGUUGAUAAGUCAGUGGUGAAAGGUUUGCGCUCAACGUAGACAUUGCCAUUGAAACUGUCAGUCUUGAGUACAAAUGAGGUAGGCGGAAUGUGUUGUGUAGCGGUGAAAUGCAUAGAUAUGACACAGAACACCAAUUGCGAAGGCAGCUU
rnacentral:rRNA from 1 species